GGAUGAAAAAACAAAGUGGGAAAGAUAUGUUGCCUGGAGAAGCGUAUACGGAAACUAAAUGGACUUGCCACCUACUGGAUAAUUCAUCUACCGGACUGACAGUUUUCCCCAGUUUUCCCCAGUUUAUUGUUGUGCGUUUAUGAAGUUUUAUGUACCCCAGUCUAUUGCUAAAUUUUUAUGAAGUUUGUUAUACCUCCAUAUUGUUCCCCUUUCCCCUUUCUCCCUCAGAUUUUCCCGCCCAAAGUUGUUUGUCUCCCUGUCCUCCCCUGCUUUCCCGCUCCUCUGCCACUGAUUGGCUACAGUUCACUGCAGUGCAGAGAGAGCUCCCAUUAGCCCUUUCCCCUGGAGACUCCGAAGUUCCAUCCACCUUUUCCCUGUCUCCCUAUCACACUUUUCCCUGGGUUGUCAGUCCCUUGCUCCUCCCCGGUUCUGGAUCCUCCCCUCAGACUUACCUUAUUUAAACCCCUGUUCUCCCUGAAUAAAGUGGCAUUGCUGCACGAAUCCUCGACUGUGCCAAGAACCCUUAUUGCAGUGCUCGGUCCCAUUUCCCUUUUCCCCCAUGGACCGUGGCAAGUCAGUCAGCUUUUUCAAAAAUAUUUGUAGAAGUGGAAAGAAGAAUUUUGUGUGGCUUAACAUUGAAGACUACAUUCAACGGGGAGGAUGCACAUUCUCAUGCCUUUGAAACACUUGGUAUCCCAGAGUGAUUCCUAAACACUUCAGAAAAUACACAGUAUAAAUUGAGCAAAAGAGCCACUGUGGAACAAGCUAGAUCCUUGGCUCAAGAGUGCAUCGGCAUGGUAUUUAAGGAGCAGACCCUCUGAGCGACUGGAAGCUCAUGCUGAGAAGAACAAAUGUUUCAUCAUUUUAACAGAUCACCUGUGGUGAUUCCUUCAGCCAGGGAAGAAGAGAUAUGUCAGCAUGAAAAGGCUACAACUGCUUCCAGAAGCUAUGAGCGGAUGGCAAAAAAAAAUUGGAAGGCAGACUGGAAAAGUAGAGUAAACUGUCCAUUAAUCACCUAAUUACUAAUCCUCUGAGCCACAUAUAACUACAGGCUUAAUGAAGGCAAUAAAAUGUGUGCAAUUUGUAUCUAAAGUAAUUACAGGGACACUGCAAUUUUCCAAAAAUAUUAAUUUUAUUAAUCUUAGGAAUGUGAGUGCAGAGAGAAAAUUUGUAGAACCAAACCAAUGGCAAAUGGGAUCAAUAAAAAUACAUUAAUGUCAUUUAAAUUAGUGAAAAUGUUUGUUUUAUGAAGCUCCAUUAAAAUUCAUUUCCAAAGUAUCUACUGAAGCUAAAACUGCUAUGUGGGUAUGUACAUGUGUACAGAAACAUGAGACAAAUGUUUCUAAGAUAUCUGAUUUACUGGUAGCUGGAUCCUGGAAUGUGAUUCACUAUUGCAGUCUCAUUCACAGUUGCAUGAAUCAGCUACCUACCACUGAGGUAUAGAUAUUUUAAAACAAUUAUUUUUCAGUUAUCACUUCACUUGCAAAUUAUGAAGGUAGGUCAUUACAGCUGUUUUUUACUCUUUUUUUUUUCCUUUUCUUGUUCUUUUUUGUUUUGUUUUUUUUUUCUUUCUUUCUUUUUUGUCUGAUUUUUGUCCUCUAAAUCAAUGUUUAUUUAGGCUAGACUUUUCUGUGUUCUCUUGAUCUAUGAAUUUCUCUAAAUUAUUAGGCAUGCACAUGUAUGAAAUAUGCAUAAAUUACUAGACUUUACAGGGAUAACACAGCUUUAGGACAACAAGUGCCAAACUUCCUGUUUGGGGUGCCAAAAAAUUUUUAAUCACAAAUGUCCCUCCCCUCAGUCUUCUAAACCUAGAAAAAAACCUUAAAGCCAGAUGGAUAUGUCUAUAUUCUGUUAUAUUUUUGAUGAAGUUUUGAGGGAUGAUGCAGUUUCCCAAAAGGGAAGGCAGUACCACUGAGUUUCACUGAGCUGUACCUUUGCUCUAACUCUACAUGAGAGAUCUCUAUUCCAGAGUUAGGUCCUUCUAUAAGUUUUGAGAGGAUGAUAGUUAGGUCCACACCUUAAUUUACUCCCUUCACUAUUGUAAAACAAAAAUCAUUCUUGAUGAUGGAAAAAUAACUAAUGGAGGGUAAAAAAGGGAAAACCAAACCAAAACAAAAAGCUAAUAGCCAUAGAAAGCCUGAAAAAAUGUUUUCUAAGCAUUUUAAUUAGGUAAAUAGCUAUAAACCCUGAAGACCAAGUCUGAUGGUUCAUUCAACUAUGUUUUUUUUUAAAAAUUGCUCUUGUUAAGUAUUCCACUGGGGCAGAUGAAUUCGAACAUGACCAUGGGCGUAAGAAGACCUGGAAUGCAUGUCCAUUAAGAUGACAAACAGCUGGCCAGAUGGAGCCAAUGGAAGCAAUCCUUUUCCUGACAACUGUAAAUGCUGCAGAGUGAUUAAAAUAAUGUGACUGAACUGCUGCAGUGGCUAUAGUAGAGUUCUGUGUUUCCAUUUGUCUCAGUUUAAGGAGACUGAGGUGUUUUGCUAAGGAGGAUGAGUUAUGAGGUAGACCAAACUCCUCUUUCUCAGCAAUUGUAAAUCUGAAAUUAAGAGGCUCCAAUCGAGGAAGUAUGGAAAAAAGAAAGAAAUAACAACCCUUUAUUAGAGGAUAUAUGUAUAUUGGCAAAAAACAGCAAAAGAACGCAAAAACAACUAAACAAUAAUCCUGUACCCAAAAGUUGCCUUCAAAAAAAAAAAAAGAAACAUUUUGAUACUUCUCUGUCCUCUUGCACGAUUCUAAUCACGGUUGGAAGGGGGUAGUGUUGGAUCACUGGAGGAGCAGAGCCUGCAGUGCUCUGUGUUGGUCAGCAGGAGGUGCUGUUGGGCUUUGGCGGUCGCGGCGUGGGAGCCCCAGUGCACAGGAGAAACCGAAAUGGAGCUCUCCCCCUCACCGAGGAGGGGAAGGGGAGAAGGGGAGAGAAGGGUGGUUUCUUUCCUGCAGAACUCACAUUGUCAGCGGCUGGCUGCGGUCGGUACUCCCCCAGAUUCGGGCUGGAGACAGGGCAGUGCGCCGGCAAGCCGAGGCCAAAGAGCAGCUAGAUGACCAGAUCGAGAGCAAAAAUGACCUCAAAGUUUUUCCAAUACCCCCCUGCCCUUGCCUCCAUUAUGGCAGAAAAUGAAGUGUCCCCCGUUUGCAAGGAGAGGAGGAGAAAAACUCCUUCCCCCUCCCUGCAGUUUUUCUGGAAGGGCUAUUAGCUGGGAAUGUAGGUCUGCCAGCUAGUUCUUUUGUAUAGUAAAUACCCCUUCCCCCU